GCCGAGGGCUACGACGUGCGGCGCAACAGCGGCCGCCUCAAGGUGGCGCUCGGCGCCCUCCUCAACAAGGGCGUGCUGCGGCGGGUGACGGGCAGCGGCGUCGCCGGCUCGUUCCGCGUGGGCCGCGGCGGCAAGGCGAAAGGCCCGAGGCGCUCCGUCAAAGCGCCGCGGCAGCGGCUGAAGAAGGCGAGGAGAGCGCGGGGGAAGGCGGCGGCGGCCGGGAGCGAGUGUUGAGCGCGGCGGAUGGAGCAGCGGUAAAAAAAACCUUUGAACCCAAAGGCUCUUUUAAGAGCCACCCCGCAGGGUUCAGCGGAGGAGCUGGGCACCGCGGGGGUGUGUGUGGGGGGGGCGCUCCGCGGCGACACCCGCGCCGCCGAGCCGGCCUGGGGGCGGGGAAACACCGCGUGGGGGCGGCGGGGAAUGCGCGCAAGGGCGGGCGCGGCGCGGGGGACUCGCGGCAGCGGCCGCUCUGGUGCCCGGCGCCGGCGGGAGAAGAGGGGAGGCCGCGGAGCGUGAAAAGCGCGAGGUGCCUCUAUAAGGCGAAAUACGACGGAGGCAUCAAGAUCCCACGCAAAUCUCCUCCUGGUGGGGAAAAAAAAAUGGGGGGAGAAAUGCUCGGAUCGGCCCAAGGCGAAGGGCAGGGUGAUGGCCAAACCAGCUGGAUUUGGGGGGAAUUUCUGGGCUCUUGAAGCCUGGCAGAGGAAACGCUUUGAAAGCAGAG
rnacentral:lncRNA from 1 species